UACAGAGGUCUCAAGCGUUGUUCGGAUUCAUUGGGCGUAAAGGGUGUGUAGGUGGCGCGCUAAGUCGGGUGUGAAAUUUCGGAGCUUAACUCCGAAACUGCAUUCGAUACUGGCGUGCUUGAGGACUGGAGAGGAGACUGGAAUUCAUGGUGUAGCAGUGAAAUGCGUAGAGAUCAUGAGGAAGACCAGUGGCGAAGGCGGGUCUCUGGACAGUUCCUGACACUGAGACACGAAGGCCAGGGAAGCAAACGGG
rnacentral:rRNA from 1 species